rnacentral:rRNA from 1 species
AUGUAUUUUAGUUCUAGACUAGAUAAUCCAUUUCUGCAACAAGUAAUUUGGAACGGAGAGAGUAGUAACAAACAGGGUGUUCAAGGGUCUCUACUCUCUACUCUUCGGGAUUUUGCUGCCACUGGGUUUUGCAACAGCAGAAAACUCCACUGUAGGAUUUUCCUAUCAUCAGCAUUUCUGAAAUACAGGACGCCGCGGCUAUUUCGGCAAAAUUAUUGGCGCCCGCAAACGCUGCUAGUGUCGUGUGCCCAGAGGAUUCCACGGCUGAAAGUGUUGCCUGCGGGCACAAGUAGACGUCGUAGCUAUUCUAUGUAUUAG